UACGAAGGGGGCUAGCGUUGCUCGGAAUGACUGGGCGUAAAGGGCGCGUAGGCGGUUCGUACAGUCAGACGUGAAAUUCCCGGGCUCAACCUGGGGGCUGCGUUUGAUACGUGCGGGCUUGAGUUCGGAAGAGGGUCGUGGAAUUCCCAGUGUAGAGGUGAAAUUCGUAGAUAUUGGGAGAACACCGGUAGGUCGAAGGCGGCCCGUGACCGUGGUCCGAACUGCCUGAGCUGGAAC
rnacentral:rRNA from 1 species